rnacentral:rRNA from 1 species
GAUGAACGCUGGCGGCGUGCCUAAUACAUGCAAGUCGAGCGAACGGACGAGAAGCUUGCUUCUCUGAUGUUAGCGGCGGACGGGUGAGUAACACGUGGAUAACCUACCUAUAAGACUGGGAUAACUUCGGGAAACCGUAGCUAAUACCGGAUAAUAUUUUGAACCGCAUGGUUCAAAAGUGAAAGACGGUCUUGCUGUCACUUAUAGAUGGAUCCGCGCUGCAUUAGCUAGUUGGUAAGGUAACGGCUUACCAAGGCAACGAUGCAUAGCCGACCUGAGAGGGUGAUCGGGCACACUGGAACUGAGACACGGGCCAGACUCCGACGGGAAGCAGCAAGAGGGAAUCUUCCGCAAUGGGCGGAAGCCUGACGGAACAACGCCGCGUGAGUGAUGAAGGGCUUCGGAUCGUAAAACUCUGUUAUUAGGGAAAAAAAUUUGUGUAAGUAACUGUGCACCACUUGACGGUACCUAAUCAGAAAGGCAAGGCUAACUACGUG